AUGGAGCCGCUCCCAGCCAUUCCCAGACUCCGGAAUUCCGGGAUGGAGCCGCUCCAGGGCAUUCCCGGGCUCAGGAAUUCCCGGAAUUCCGGGAUAGGGGCGCUCCAGGGGAUUCCCAGGCUCAGGAAUUCCGGGAAUUCCAGGAUAGGGGCGCUGCAGGGGAUUCCCAAACUCCGGAAUUCCGGGAUUGAGCCGCUCCCAGCCAUUCCCAGACUCCAAAAUUCCAGGAAUUCCAGGAUAGGGGCGCUCCAGGGCAUUCCCAGGCUCUGGAAUUCCGGGAAUUCCGGGCUGGAGCCGCUCCCGGCCAUUCCCAAACUCUGGAAUUCCCGGAAUUCCGGGAUGGAGCUGCUCCCGGGGAUUCCCAAACUCCGGAAUUCCAGGAUGGAGCUGCUCCAGGGCAUUCCCGGGCUCAGGAAUUCCAGGAAUUCCGGGAUAGGGGCGCUCCAGGGCAUUCCCAAACUCUGGAAUUCCCGGAAUUCUGAGCUGGAGCCGCUCCCGGCCAUUCCUGGACUCCAGAAUUCCAGGAAUUCCAGGAUAGGGGCGCUCCAGGCCAUUCCCAAACUCUGGAAUUCCAGGAUAGAGUUGCUCCAGGGGAUUCCCGGGCUCAGGAAUUCCAGGAAUUCCGGGAUAGGGGCGCUCCAGGGCAUUCCCAAACUCUGGAAUUCCCGGAAUUCCGGGCUGGAGCCGCUCCCGGCCAUUCCCAAACUCCGGAAUUCCGGGAAUUCCGGCAUUCCCGAGGUUCGCCCGCCGGGAAUUCUCGCUGGAUCCCGGAGCGUCCCCGGGAGGCUCCUGGAAAAUUCCCGAGCCUGGGAAAAGGCGGGAAAAAACCUCGGGAAAAGGGAAUUGGGGGAGGGGGAAAAACCGGGAUGGGGCCUCGGCAUUCCCGGUUUUCCAUCCCCAUUCCCGGUUUUCCAUCCCCAUUCCCAGUUUUCCAUCCCCAUUCCUGGUUUCCCAUCCCCCAUUCCCGAUUUCCCAUCCCCCAUUCCCGAUUUCCCACCCCCAUUCCCGGUUUCCCAUCCCCCAUUCCCAAUUAUUUCCCCAUUCCCAGUUUGCCAUUCCCAUUUUCCCAAUUCCCAAUUUCCCAUUCCCGGUUUUCCAUCCCCUUUUCCCAAUUUCCCCAUUCCCAAAUCCCAUCCCCAUUCCCAGUUUUCCCCGUUCCCAAUUCCCAAUUAUUUCCCCAUUCCCAAUUUCCCAUUUUCCCACCCCCAUUCCCGAUUUCCCCAUCCCCAAUUCCCAUUUUCCACAUUCCCAAACCCCUCCCAAUUCCCAAUUUCCCCAAUUCCCAAUUCCCAAUUUUCCCCAUUCCCAAUUUUCCCAAUUUCCCCAAUUCCCAAUUCCAAAUUUUCCCAAUUCCCAAUUUUCCCGCCAAUCCCCAAUUCCCAAUUUUCCUAA
rnacentral:lncRNA from 1 species